rnacentral:rRNA from 1 species
GAGGGAAUAUUGGUUAAUGUGCGAAAGCGCGAACCAGCAACGCCGCGUGUGCGAUGAAGGCCUUCGGGUUGUAAAGCACUUUUAGAGGGAAUGAGGAAGGACAGUACCCUCAGAAUAAGCCUCGGCUAACUACGUGCCAGCAGCCGCGGUAAUACGUAGGAGGCGAGCGUUAUCCGGAUUUACUGGGCGUAAAGCGCGUGCAGGCGGUUCAAUAAGUUGGAUGUGAAAGCUCCCGGCUAAACUGGGAGAGGACGUUCAAGACUGUUGGGCUAGAGGAUGAGAGAGGGAAGUGGAAUUCCGAGUGUAGUGGUGAAAUGCUUAGAUAUCUGGAAGAACACCGGUAGCGAAGGCUGUUGCCUGGCCUGGUAUUGACGCUCAGGGACGAAAGCGUGGGGAUCAAACA